rnacentral:rRNA from 1 species
GACGAACGCUGGCGGCGUGCCUAACACAUGCAAGUCGAACGAGGUCCAUCCAGUGGCAACACUGGGGACGACCUAGUGGCGAACGGGUGAGUAACACGUGAGGAACUUGCCCCGGAGACCGGGAUAAGCCCCCGAAAGGGGGUCUAAUACCGGAUGCCCUCACCGAGUCGCAUGGCUUGGUGAGGAAAUGGAUUCCGCUCCGGGAGAGCCUCGCGGCCUAUCAGCUUGUUGGUGGGGUAACGGCCCACCAAGGCGUCGACGGGUAGCUGGUCUGAGAGGACGAUCAGCCACACUGGGACUGAGACACGGCCCAGACUCCUACGGGAGGCAGCAGUGGGGAAUCUUGCGCAAUGGGCGAAAGCCUGACGCAGCAACGCCGCGUGCGGGAUGAAGGCCCUCGGGUUGUAAACCGCUUUCAGUGGGGACGAACCAAGACGGUACCCACAGAAGAAGGUCCGGCCAACUACGUGCCAGCAGCCGCAGUAA